rnacentral:misc_RNA from 1 species
CUACCCGUACAGUGCGACUAUCAUCUGUCAUUUUCGCCCACGCGCACUUGCACGUGGGCGUGUCUCGAUCUCUGGGCGCGCGCUUCCCACUCAUUCGCUACCUUGGUGCACGCUGAGCAACGGUGCAUCUCUACCCCUUCGUACCACCUCCGCUCCUUGCCUGCUCGCCUGCCAGCCUGUACCGGCACAAGGCAGCACAAGAAGAGAGAGGGCCCCCGCCUGCAGCUUUCAUCGGCACGACUCAAGCAAGAACAACAGCACACAACAUAACAACACCAGGGCAUCUUUUUUUUUUUUCGUAUUGGUCGGAUCUCCGUUUGCUCUCGCUGCAACACACCUCACAGCAUCCGCCACGCCUGUCGCGCUUGGCAUCACCCUUUUCUUCCUCCCUUUAUUCAUGGCCGGCCUCGGAUCGCGGUUCGUAUUACCCAGCGGCCAUCGCGUACGGACGACCGUUUGGUGAGCUCUCCUUGUUGUGUGUGAGCGUGUGCUUUCUCUGUGUGUCAGCGCCCCGCGCAUCCGUCGCGCAACGACGGCAUACGUGCACGCCGGCCGUACGUGUAAGGUUCGGCUCACCCACGUGGUCUGUCCCUCUCUGAUCGCGCCUCUGAGCACCCGCCGCCCUUCAAGCUGUACUCUUUUAGCGGUCAACACGAUUGCUGGGAAAUGGUGGGCGCGGGAAAGGCGGCGAGCUCCUCUGACCCGCCGCCUUUCCAGCAGAGCAUGGUGCCGGGCUUGAGUAUGCCCAUCACCACCACCCCCAGCACUUGCUACGCCAACUCCUCCACCUCUAGUCCUCUCCUCCCACGUAGCACCUCCACCAGUCCCUUUCCGGUUCAGCGGCGCGGUGGCGGCUUCCACUUUGCUCGUACGCUGGACAGCUAUGAGUCGCGCGGCGACGCAGGCUGCAGUGACUGUGCGUUCAACGGCUUGGCCCAGAAACGCCACUCAUCGACGAGCGAGAGGGUGGCGGCGACACCCGUCCCCGUAGGGGCCUCAACUUCCCUGUGGUGCAGGCGCUUAGGAUUGCGACUGCAGCGCUUGUGCAAGAACGCUGCCCAGCGCCUCUCGUUGACGAGGGUCUUCAAAUGCACCGGGGACAGCCAGCGGAGCCGCGCCACUUACGCUCCGGUGCCAAGCCGUCGCUCCGACAACGCUGGUCAGCACGAGAUGCGCCGCAUUCGCCUACUAGACAAGGCCGUGGGAAAUCAGUACUGCACGAACCUGGUGGUCAACAGCCGCUACACGGUGCAGAACUUCAUCUUCAAGAACCUCUACGAGCAGUUCAGCCGCCCUCUCAACUUGUACUUUCUGGUCGUGGCCGUGCUGCAGUUCGUUUCGGUCAUCGCGCCUGUCAACCCGCUGUCCACGCUGCUACCACUCCUCUUCGCUUUCAUGCUGACCGCCGCGAAGGAAGGCUACGAUGACUUGAAGCGGCACCGACAGGACCACAAAUACAACCACACGCUUCGCAGGGUGCUUGACACCGAGAAGGUGGCCUGGGUCUCGCGCAUCAACGCCGACAUUCGCGUCGGCGAUGUGCUGCUACUGCGCGAGGACGAAGAAAUUCCAUGCGAUGUUGUCGUACUCGGCGCGACCUCGGGUGUGUACAUCCGCACGGACAACUUGGAUGGCGAGAUCGACCUGAAGCCUAAGGAGACGCUUCAGCUCACUACGGUUGACCCGGGUAAUCUCUCGCGGCGCACGCGCGCGGUUUGCGAGGUCAGUUCGGAGACGGAGCCGCCUCCGGCUGUGAAUGUCAUUUCGGCUCUCACAGGUGUGUGCCUAGAGUGUCCUCCAGCGUCAGCGAUCAUGGACUCUUUCGAAGGCUGCGCGGACCUUCAACCCACUGCCCAGGCGACCGUCUCUUGCGUUGGCGCCCCGUCGGGGCGAGUGCCUCUCACCCAUCACCAUCUCCUCCCCCAGUCGUGCGUCCUGAAAAACGUCGCGCAGGCGGUGUGCGUCGCGGUGUACACGGGCGAUGACACUAAGUGUGGCAUGAACAAGCGCGAGGCGCCUGUGAAGUGGGCGCAAAUCGACAAGGACGUCAGCCGCUACUCCGCUUGCAUUUUUGUGUGCCAGAUACUGAACGCCCUCGUGUUUGGCGUAAUCGGGUUUGUGAAAAAUGGAAGCAUGCACGACAUGGCCUGGUACCUGCCGUUGCCGGUGAGCGAGGCGAGCGGGUCGGCUGUCAUAUACCCGCUGCGCUUCUUUCUGCUGACGACGGUCAUGAUUCCCGUCUCCUUCAAGUUUGUCGUGGAUGUUUGCAAGUACUACAUGGCGAGAGCGGUCGAGUGGGACAUCUCGAUGAUGCAUACAGCACCAGCGGCAGCGGGGUCGCAGCGGCCAGAUCAGUCGCAGCAGAUUGGUUGCAAGGUGAAGAACUCCAGUAUCCUCGAGGACCUCGGUCAGAUCGACUACGUCCUGUCCGACAAGACCGGGACCCUCACGCAGAAUGUGAUGGAGCUGGACGCCGUCACCAUCUGCCCUGGCCACCAUAUCUCUGUUUCCAAGAUAACAGACACAUGCGCGACUCUGCCAGAGGAGCUGAAGAAGCAGGACCCCGCAACGCUUGCGACAGUGCGGCGAUUUGCGCAGAUGGUCGCCUUGUGCAACACCGUAGAGGUCGCGCAUCCCCAAGCAUCUUCGGGCGCGGGCCCGAGUGGCGCGGCGAUCGCCUACCACGCCGCGUCUCCAGACGAGGUUGCUCUCUGCGUGGGGAUGCGCAAGUUGGGGGUCUCACUGGUGUAUCGCAACGAGCAUCGCGCCGUGCUUCGUGUGCGCCGCGGAGAGGGCAGCAGUCACACCGUGGCAGCCGCUGCACUGGGGGCUUGCAGCCACGGUAACAGCGGCGUACGCGUUGCAGGGACAGACGACGAUGUUGAGGACGAGCUGACGUGGACGGUGCACCACACUCUCCCCUUUUCCUCUGAGAGGAGGACGAUGGGGGUCGUUGUGGAAGAGCCCGGCUCUGGUCGAAUUUGGUUUAUUGUGAAAGGCGCCGACGAUCGGGUGAUGGAGAUGGCCUCACCGCCACCGUCGUCCUCGGAUGCCUCGUGGCACCCCCAAAACCUUCCGCUCCAUCCGGAGUGCGCGGCGAAGCUGUCCCUGUACGCCCACCGCGGCUUCCGUACCCUUCUUGUCGCGUGUAAGGAACUCACACGGGCGGAUCUAAGUGUCUUCCUGCGCAACAUUGCGGAGGCGAGCUGUUUGGCCGAGGGCCGGCAGGCCCGCCUCGACGCACUGCGUGCGCAGAUGGAAUCUGGUGUGACCAUUAUCGGCAUCACAGCCAUCGAGGACAAGUUGCAGGAUGAUGUGGGGGAGACGAUUAGCGACAUGCUCCUCGCCGGCAUCAAGGUUUGGAUGCUGACAGGGGACAAGAUGGAGACGGCAGAGCAGAUCGGCCUGUCGUGCGGUCUUUACCGUGCAAGUGAUAUGGUCAUUCGCAUUAGCGAGACACAGUGUUGUACGGACCUCGGCAGAGGCACCUGCGAGCGUGGCGAUGCGGCGACCAAUGCGAGAAGCUGGCGCGAGGAGCUGCUCUCCUUCCCGAUGCAGCAACUGCCUUCGCCACCCUCCUGGCAUUUCCGACAGCGCAGCGCUGCAUCCGCGUUUGUGUCCGCGUCAGCGGCGCAGAUGUGCGGCAAGGCGCUGGAGACGCGCGUGCUUGGUUUCGACGCGAGCGACUCGUCUCAGCUCUCGAACGGGCCGUUGCGCACGAUGGCGCUGGCAGCGGACAGUGUCGCGGAGGCAAGCGGGAGCGGCGCGGGCGGUGGUGCCUUUGUGAGCGGUGGCCCCGAGCGCAUCGCCGUCUUAGUUGUGGAAGGUGGUAGUGUACUAGAGACCAUCCUACAAGACCCGACACUUCGGGCACGCCUCCGCGAGAUAUCGAGCCGCUGCGGCAGCGUCAUCUGCGCGCGCUCGACCCCGAGCCAGAAAGCCGCCAUCGUCCGGUUUGUGCGCGGCGGCGGCUUCAUGACGCUGUCCGUCGGCGACGGCGGCAACGAUGUCGCGAUGCUGCAGGAAGCGCAUGUGGGCGUGGGGGUUGCGGGCAAGGAGGGGCAGCAGGCGGCCCGUGCCGCAGAUUUUUCCAUUACGCAGUUUUCCGACCUGCGCGCGCUGCUGUUUGUGCACGGGCAGCAGGCGUACACCCGAACCGCGUACGUGAUCAAGUACAGCUUCUACAAGUCGAUGCUGAUUUCGUUCAUUCAGCUCGCCUACAACGUAAUCGGCACCCAUGUAUCUGGUGGUACCUUCUGGAACAGCUUUUCUCUUACGAUGUGGAACGGCUUCUAUACGCUGCCGCAGACCAUCUUCUACUGCUUCGACCGCUGUGCGUCGCGUGUAGUGCUGGAGCGCAAUCCGUACCUGUACAAGAUGACGCGGCACGCUGUCGACAUACGCCCGGGCGAGUUCUUCGGGUCUUUUGUGGCCCGCGGCGUGCUGCAGUCUGUUGGGCUUCUUUGGCUAAGUACGCGGUUGUACGGGCCCGACUUUGCGUACGCCGAAAGCGGUGGCACGGCGUCCAAUGACGUGACGUUCAGCGUCUCCUACACGGCCCUGAUGCUGUCGCAGGUGUACACCAUGUGGUGGGAGUCGCACGCCGUUACCCCGCUAAACCUUCUCAUGCUUCUUGGCAUGCCGCUCUUCUACGUGUACUCCACGAGUGUCUAUAGUGACAGCCCAACGCUGCAGUACUUUGGUGUGUUCCGCAAGUCGCUUGACACCGCCGGAAUCCUUUCGGCGUUUGGCGUGUCGGUGGCACUCAUGGUACCAAGCAUCAUCUACCUCACGGCAAUGGUCUUUCAGACCCCUAACCCGCGCGAUGUCCUGCGCCAAGCUGAGAUCCGUCGUCAGCGGCUGCUGCUGACGCGGCGUGACUACAAGCGCAUGCAGCCGUUGUGGGUGCGCUGGUUUGGUGCCACGCCAGAGGACCGCUCCGUGUUGUGUAGGCGAUGCUACAGCGCGCAUAGCAUGGACGGCGACGAUGUCGGAGACGGCAUGAUUUGACCUCACGAACGCUUUGGUGAAUGGACAGCAACUUGUGCAUGUUCAUCACACACACACACACACACACACGAAAAAAAAAGGAUUACGCGUGCCGUCGGGCGCUUGUCAGGGGGUAGGGGGGGCGGAGCCCACAGGCGCAGACGGUGCGCAAGGGAAAGAGGGAGCCGCGCUGCGUUCGUUUGAUGGGCCACACAUCAUACAAGCUCCCGUGUGGCACCCUCGUGAAGCUCUUGUCGCACCCUCCGUUACCGUGAGGACGGGGGACCCCUUGGGUGGUAAUGAGGGUCUCCCGCACCCACACUCUUGGCGGCGGCUGACAGGGCUGGGCUAGCGCUGGGCCGAGGAGGCGUGCGGUGAUCAUCAUGCCAUCGCCAGCGCACUACAAAUCAUGUCGACUGGUCACCAACUAUGCGCAUUCGCCCGCUUUUUUUUUGGUACGCUUUUGCGGCGUUGCGGUAAUGUUGAGGGUAAUCCCGUAUCUGGCCUGCGUUGUAUGCAGUGGAAUGAUGAUAUACCGCGCGGCGACCAAUCGGUGUUGGUUGACCCGAUACGUCCUUGACGAACAGCCGCAGCGCAACAGAGGUAGAUACACCUCUUCGGCUGUGUACACGUAUAUUGGCUAACCUGUUCGUCGUUGAACGGACGCGUUGAAAGCAAAAGAAAAAAGGGCACUCGCCCUUUCGGCGUUUGGUUCCUUGUUUCUGGGCAUCGCGUCUUCGUGUUGGUGUGCGCGUUUUUGCGCUGUGCUGGAGGAGACGAGGAAGCGCACAGCGACGGGGGAGCAGGAGGCAGCGCUCUCUUCUCUUCCUCCGUCCACAUUUCUGGGUUGGUAGAGUGAGGUCUGUCGCACGCACGCGUGCCGUUUGGUUUUUCUCUCUUGUUCUCGCGCUCCUUUCCUGUUCUCC